rnacentral:lncRNA from 1 species
CAACACUGAGGUCUUGAAGACCUCUUGUUACAGCAAGUCUUCAUAGGUCCGUAUUUUUCUACAUAUUUUUUCCUAAGUUCUUAAAUGAGGUCUCAUUUUACUCAGAUAUACCUAAGUAGUGAGAAACAGCAGCUUGUUAUGUUUUAUACCGUGACUCAUUCAUGCUAAAUCAUUACUCAAUAUAUUCUAGUUCAAACCUUACUACAACAUUGUGGCUAUACCUAGGGAAGAAUCUCCUUUGACUACUGGCUAAGUUCCUCAAGCAUUUUAUUACUGGGUCAGUACUGCACUAAUAUGUUACAUAGUAAUAACAUUCAGCUUAUAAAAGUGAAGCCCAUUUUGGUGAAAUAAUUAUUAGUUUGUGGUGAAUUUAUUUGUCCAUUAUGCUGGCUCUUGAUAUUUUUUAAUUAAAUCUGGAAGGCAAAAGGGAGAAAAAUGUAGUUUGGGGAGAGGGACCCUCCCAGGUCACAUCUGGCUCGUUUUUCAUGACAAAAAUCUAGACCAACUAUACUAAAAGCAAAAAAUAUUCCAAUGUGGGGGCCUGAUUCUGACCUCAGUGUAGUCUUCAGCCAAACUUUCUUACAUAUUCAUUAAGGAUAAUUGGGUUUUGUUGUUGCUGCUGCUACUGGCUGUCUGAUUUCCAUUAACUCAGAACCUCCAUGUAACAGUGAAGUACUAUACUUCUGAAGAAGCACAAUCAUGAGGUAUUUUUUAUGUCCUUUAUCCAGACAAAGCCAAAAAAAAAAUGUAGUGGGUCAAGAAGAUUCAGCUCCCAUAGGUUUAAGUCUUAGCUUAACAUUUGCAAUGGCACUGGCAGAAUGUUUUGGAGCUCUUUUAGAUAUGAGCUUGAUGAAUUACAAAAACUUGUUCUUCCAUCAUUAUGCUGGUGGAAUUUCUGUUUGUUCCUGUCAUUAAAAAAGGAUCUUAAUAGUGUUAGUUCUCAUGCAUGGAUACAUCUCUGGAAUUAUUUAGCAGUUAGUGUUCAAGGCUGCAAACCAAGGUUUUGCAUUCUGUUCAAUUUCAGUAUGUACUUUCUGUCUUGGCAAUAUCAGUGUCUAGAAUUCCUUCAGCAGGAAGUCUCUCACGUCAUUUAUCCCUGUGCAUGAAGCUUGUCUGCCCACAGUGGAUAUGAGUACACAAGUGAAAAUCAUGGAAGGAGUUGAACAUCUACAAACAUCACACAGUGACCUUAAUGCAGCUGUCAAAGCAAUCUACCAAAGCAACUGUUGGGUUUGUUUUGCCUGUGGUGAAGAAAAAGAAAAGCUGAUUCUUCUAGUUGUCCUCAGGCAUGCGAGCACUCAAAGAACAAAGAUAGUGUUCUACUUAUUUCUACAGGUACUGGAAU